UACGUAGGUGGCAAGCGUUGUUCGGAAUUACUGGGCGUAAAGCGCACGUAGGCGGACUCUUAAGUCGGUGGUGAAAUCCUGGAGCUCAACUCCAGAACUGCCUUCGAUACUGAGAGUCUUGAGUCCGGGAGAGGUGAGUGGAACUGCGAGUGUAGAGGUGAAAUUCGUAGAUAUUCGCAAGGACACCAGUGGCGAAGGCGGCUCACUGGCCCGGUACUGACGCUGAGGUGCGAAAGCGUGGGGAGCAAACAGGG
rnacentral:rRNA from 1 species